rnacentral:misc_RNA from 1 species
CAGUUCCAUAAAAUUGUUCAGGUACAUACCAAAUAUGUAUAACUUACAAAUUUAAACAAUCAUACAUCACAAAUUCUAACAAAGUAGAAAAUAUGCAGUGCUCGACAACAUAAAUAUUGAUACCCGGUCGCUUACGUGAUGAAGAUGAAAAUAAAUUGAAAGAUGAUUCAACUCCCAGGUCAAGAAUGAAUGGUAAUAUUGGUGGGCAUAUGCUCAUUCACCUUCUGAAGAAGGGACUCUGAGUCCUCACAUACUAACUUGGGUGUCUCCACAUUUGCGCACACUAUUGUUCCAUUCCCAGUGUCAUCAUUAAAUUUGUUGCUGUUGUCUGAUUUCAAAUUGCCCAGGCUGUGCCGGACCGCCCGACGACGGGAUUGGGUGUUCUUGUCUGCACUGGAUGGAUUAGUUGUCUCGCUACAGCUCUUCCUUCGUCCAAGUUUUGGCGACUUGGCACGAGUAGUGGGCAGCUUUUUAAGUUCCAGCUUAGGAGGAGGUCCUUCUUGGUAGAAGCUAGGCAUAGGAGUAGCUUUGAAAGUCAAGCUCUUCCUGAGUUGCUUUAGUGCCGCCUCUCUUUCUUCCUUUGUCCUAGCUUCACACUGAUUUUUCUCUGCCUCUAAAGCUUGAUGUUUUUCUUCCAAUUUUGAGUAGAACUCCCGUCGUUUCUCUGCACGCUCACUGCAUCUAAAAGUAGGGACAGACACCAUAAGAGAAUUGCCUUUGGAAGAUCUCACAGACGCCGCAGAUAAAGAGCAAGCAUCCUCUUCAUCUUUAUGCUUUUUAUUGUCUGGCUGCAGAGGUUUCCUUGAAGUGAGAGGUGAGUUAUUCUGCAACUUUUUCUGCAUGUUCUGUAACUGGACAGGUUUAUUACCAUUGCCAGCAACAUUAGCAACAGGAGGAUGAGUACCGCCAGAAGCACGUUUUUCAGUUGCAAGAGCAAAUGGUUGGGGAACAGUAUACUUUGCCCGUGCAGUUCCACCAUUCAGAGACUUUGAGGCUGGCUUAACAGUAGCCUCCGAGUUUACAUGAUCAGUCAGCUUCUGCGCGGAACUGUUUGCUUUCAUCUGCUCCGGUUUUUCAGCACCUAAAUUCAAGUCAUUGAUAGGAGGUUCUUCUUCGUCUCCGCAGAACAAUGAGGCCUUGACAGGACCAUCCAAGGUGGUGUUGUACUUGACUUGAUAAUCUUCAGAUUCUAUUGUUCGAUGUAAGUAUUGAGAAUCAGAUACACCUUCUAUAACUUCAUCAGAUCCAGAAGAUUGAGAAAUCUUGGAAGCAUGGCCAUUUCCUUGCUUGGGGCCAAUACCGGCCGAACAAAUAACCACACAGUCUGAUUCUUCAUCUGUAGACAUGUCUAUAAUUUCUUUCCUCAUAUUGAAAGUCUCCGAGCUCUCGAUCUGAGAGAGAUCUCGCCGGCGAUCGCCGGAGCUGCUCUGUAUCGCUGUAACUAGCAG